rnacentral:rRNA from 1 species
UACGGAGGAUGCAAGCGUUAUCCGGAUUUAUUGGGUUUAAAGGGUGCGUAGGCGGGCUUUUAAGUCAGCGGUAAAAAUUCGGGGCUCAACCCCGUCCGGCCGUUGAAACUGGGGGUCUUGAGUGGGCGAGAAGAAGGCGGAAUGCGUGGUGUAGCGGUGAAAUGCAUAGAUAUCACGCAGAACCCCGAUUGCGAAGGCAGCCUUCCGGCGCCCUACUGACGCUGAGGCACGAAAGUGCGGGGAUCGAACAGG